rnacentral:rRNA from 1 species
GACGAACGCUGGCGGCGGGCUUAACACAUGCAAGUCGAACGGAAAGGCCCUGCUUUUGUGGGGUGCUCGAGUGGCGAACGGGUGAGUAACACGUGAGUAACCUUCCCUUUACUUUGGGAUAACUUCAGGCAACUGGGGCUAAUACCGAAUAGGAGCGCCUGCUGCAUGGUGGGGGUUGGAAAGUUUCGGCGGUUGGGGAUGGACUCGGGGCUUAUCAGCUUGUUGGUGGGGGAGUGGCUUACCCAGGCUUUGACGGGUAGCCGGCCUGAGAGGUUGAACGGGGACAUGGGGACUGAGAUACGGCCCAGACUGGUACGGGAGGCAGCAGGGGGGAAUAUUGCACAAUGGGCGGAAGCGUGAUGAAGAGACGCCGCGUGCGGGAUGAAGGCCUUCGUGUUGUAAACCGCUUUAGGCUGUGACGAAGCGGGAGUGACGGUAAUGGGUAAAGAAGCACCGGCUAACUACGUG